rnacentral:rRNA from 1 species
AUACAGAGGGUGCAAGCGUUAUUCGGAAUUACUGGGCGUAAAGGACGCGUAGGCGGGUUGGCAAGUCAGAUGUGAAAUCCUACAGCUUAACUGUAGAACUGCAUUUGAAACUGCUAACCUAGAGUAUGGGAGGGGGAGAUGGAAUUAGUGGUGUAGGGGUAAAAUCCGUAGAUAUCACUAGGAAUACCGAAAGCGAAGGCGAUCUCCUGGAACAUAACUGACGCUAAGGCGUGAAAGCGUGGGGAGCAAACAGGAUUAGAAACCCUGGUAGUCC